GAUGAAGAACGUAGCGAAAUGCGAUACUUGGUGUGAAUUGCAGAAUCCCGUGAACCAUCGAGUCUUUGAACGCAAGUUGCGCCCGAAGCCAUCAGGUUGAGGGCACGUCUGCCUGGGCGUCACAUAUCGUUGCCCAAUGCCUAUUGCAGUGCAAUAGGAAUUUCUAGGGCGAAUGAUGGCUUCCCGUGAGCGUUGUUGCCUCGCGGUUGGUUGAAAAUCGAGUCCUUGGUAGGGUGUGCCAUGGUAGAUGGUGGUCGAGUUAGAACGAUACCGAUCAUGUGCAUGCUCCCCAAAACAUGGCCUCUAUGACCCACACGCGUCUUUUGACGCUCAUGACGAGACCUCAGGUCAGGCGGGGCUACCCGCUGAAUUUAAGCAUAUCAAUAAGCGGAGGA
rnacentral:misc_RNA from 1 species